rnacentral:misc_RNA from 1 species
GAUGAAGAACGUAGUGAAAUGCGAUAAGUAAUGCGAAUUGCAGAAUUCAGUGAAUCAUCGAAUCUUUGAACGCACAUUGCGCCCCUUGGUAUUCCGAGGGGCAUGCCUGUUCGAGCGUCAUUAUAACCCCUCAAGCUCAGCUUGGUGUUGGGGCCUGCUGCACUGGCAGCCCUUAAAAUCAGUGGCGGCGCCAUCUGGCUCUAAGCGUAGUAAUUCUUCUCGCUAUGGAGUCCUGGUGGAUGCUUGCCAUCAACCCCCAAUUUUUCUAUGGUUGACCUCGGAUCAGGUAGGGAUACCCGCUGAACUUAAGCAUAUCAAUAAGCGGAGGA